CGGGCUGAGUAACGCGUAGGUGACCUGCCCCGAAGUGGGGAAUAACUGCCCGAAAGGGUGGCUAAUACCGCAUGUGGUGGUGCGAUCAUUCGCACCAGUAAAGCCGCAAGGCGCUUCGGGAGGGGCCUGCGUCCGAUUAGCUCGUUGGUGGGGUAACGGCUCACCAAGGCGACGAUCGGUAGGUGGUCUGAGAGGACGAUCACCCAGACUGGGACUGAGACACGGCCCAG
rnacentral:rRNA from 1 species